CACUGUCACUCCUACGGGGAGGCAGCAGUGGGGGAAUAUUGCACAAUGGGCGCAAGCCUGAUGCAGCCAUGCCGCGUGUGUGAAGAAGGCCUUCGGGUUGUAAAGCACUUUCAGUUGUGAGGAAGGUGGUGUUGUGAAUAGCAGCAUCAUUUGACGUUAGCAACAGAAGAAGCACCGGCUAACUCCGUGCCAGCAGCCGCGGUAAUACGGAGGGUGCGAGCGUUAAUCGGAAUUACUGGGCGUAAAGCGCAUGCAGGUGGUUUGUUAAGUCAGAUGUGAAAGACCCCGGGCUCAACCUGGGAAUUGCAUUUGUAAACUGGCAAACUAGAGUACUGUAGAGGGGGGUAGGAAUUUCAGGUGUAGCGGUGAAAUGCGUAGAGAUCUGAAGGAAUACCGGUGGCGAAGGCGGCCCCCUCGGACAGAUACUGACACUCAGAUGCGAAAGCGUGGGGAGCAAACAGGAUUAGAUACCCUGGUAG
rnacentral:rRNA from 1 species